rnacentral:sRNA from 1 species
AAUCUCAUAAGGUUAAAAGUUUUAUUUUUGCUAGGUUUCUUCUUCUCUUAGUGUAUCCAUCAUUGUCUUGGUCAAAUUUUAUCUUUUUACAAAUCUUAGAUUUGCCCACCAAGUGUUUGUUAAAAUUCCUCAAAGAAAGAGAGAGAGUUGAAAUUAAGAACCCAAACAUAUAUUCUUACUAUAAAUUUGUAAUUUAAAGGUAAUCUUAUGCUAUUUUCAUUAAAAUACAUGAGCAAAUAAUAAUAAAAAAACGUAAGAAAUACCAAAAAAAAAUCAUAAGCAGAGUGAUAGGCGGCUAGAGUUUCAAGAAAAUGAUGAUCUCUAUACAAAUUACUAUUUUGCCUUUCUCAUUUGUAUGCAAAUUACUAUUAUGCAAACCACGUGGUCAAAGUUUGGUGGAUGUGCAUAGAUGGUCGAUAAUUCGAAAUAAGUGAAAUGACCACAUGUUCAGAGUUUGGUGGAUGUGUGUUAACGGUUGAUAAUUCAAAAUGAUUGCGUUUUGAUAAUACUAUCCAUAAAACAAGUGUUACGUUAUGUAAAAGAUGUUGAUAAAAUAUGAUGAAACAAGUUCUAUUGGUCAUAUCCACAAAAGUUUAUUUAUGAAAAUGUUU